GGGCGGGCGCUCCUGCCAAAGCCUCGGAGGCUCCCUCGCGGGUGGCUUUCCUGCGACCCGGACCUCCCCCGCCCCCCUCCGGUUCCCAUCCAUGUAGGAUCUGAGUGGGGGGCGUCCCUGGCCCCUCCCGUGGCGAGGCUUCCCUUGGGGACCCUGGGCUGUGCCUUGAUCCUGCCUUAACGGUCAGGCACUUGUGUUUGUUUUCAGAGGACCUUCCGGGAGAUUAUGUUCCUUCAGGAAUUUGGAGAGCAUCCAAACAUCAUUAGGCUCCUGAAUGUCAUCCGGGCUCAGAAUGACAAAGACAUUUACCUGGUUUUCGAGUCCAUGGAGACUGACUUGCAUGCUGUGAUCAAGAAGGGGAAUUUAUUGAAAGACAUUCACAAGUGUUAUAUCCUGUACCAGCUCCUGAAGGCCACCAAGUUCAUCCACUCAGGAAAUGUAAUUCACAGGGACCAGAAGCCAUCUAACAUCCUUCUCGACUCGGAUUGCUUUGUUAAAUUGUGUGACUUUGGACUGGCACGCUCCCUCUGUCAAAUCUCUACGGAUGAAGGGAACCCCACACUUACUGAAUAUGUUGCUACUCGCUGGUACCGAGCCCCUGAGAUUCUUCUUGCCUCACACAGCUACACCAAAGGGGUGGACAUGUGGAGCAUUGGCUGUAUCUUGGGGGAGAUGCUCCUGGGGAAGCCCCUUUUCCCUGGCACAUCCACAGUCAACCAGAUAGAGCAGAUCCUGAGAGUUGUUCCUCCCUCCUCCCCAGAAGAUGUGGCCGCUUUCCAUUCAGACUACAGAGCCUCCAUUAUCAACCGCAUGAGUUGCCGGCAGCAGAUGACUUUUGAAGAUCUUUUACCAUCGUCAACACCUCCACAGGCCCUGGACCUCCUGAAACAGCUGUUGGUAUUUAAUCCUGAGAAGCGCCUAACUGCUGAAGAGGCUCUGGAGCAUCCCUACGUGCAAAGGUUCCAUUGUCCUUCGAAAGAACCUGCGCUUGAUCACAGUGUGGUCCUUCCCCUGGAUGACGAUGUGCAGCUCUCCGUGGCUGAGUAUCGCAACAAACUGUAUGAGAUGAUCUUGGCAAGAAAGGCCAGUAACCAAUGUCAGAAGCAACAGCCCCAGAGAGAGGACCUUCAGCUUGGUGGCCCAGAGGGCAGGCCACCUCUUAAAGCCCACUGGGAGGCACGAGGGGGGCCAUGUCCCAUUCCACCAAAAAGCUCCCCAGGGCUCCUGGGUGCUCAGGGAUCCUAUGAAGCUGCCCAGCGAAAAGCAGAUGAGACAAGAAACCUCUGCCCAAGGCCAAAGAUCUGUUCCACCUCCCAGAACGGCCCAAAUCUUGGCGCUAAGACAAGGAACCACUCUGCACCAUUCCUUCAGCAACAGCAGCCUGCCUCCCGUCACCAGAAAGUGGGGAAACAGACGGUCUGUAUGCAAGCAAGUGGUCUGCCUGCUGCAGGCGGUUUGCACCACCUUUAUGGAGGGCCAGAUGAGACAGAGGGACAAAGCCAGACUUCACCCAACCUCAGAUCUCUCUCAUUGUCUGGCCAAGCCCAGGAGGCAGCUCUGAAUCACCACCUGAUAAGGAAGGACUCCUCCUCCAGCAAGGCAGCCUUUGGGCCUAAACCCAGGAGCUCCGAUUCCCAUGGCAGGGAAGUCCAUCCUUUUCCAAAACCCAACAGAAAGAUGUUCCAGGGUACAGCAAAUGUGGGGGCGGCUGGGGACCCCAAAGCCUUCCUGGGCAGUUACUCUCAGUCCUAUGGGACCAUCUGCAAGUCUGCUUUGCAAAACCUACCUGUGCCAAGUGUUUGCCAGAAGACACUGGCCCCAAGUGUCCAACGGCUGUGAUCACCCAGCCUCAGCCUGCUUCCAGAGCCAUCGAGGAAGUGUAGAGUAUGCCCAGGAACCAAGAGGUGCGGUGGAGCUCUGGUGCUCUCCUGGUGGAAAGGUCUGAACUGGACAUUUACUUCCACUAACGUCCAGUGCUGUAAGUGCUGCUGGCUCCAUCUUCCUCUGCCAAGGCGUGCUUAACUUAUUUGGCCAAGAGCUACAGAAAGGGCUCCAUGUAGGAAACCUCCGGAAGCCAGACAAGAGGAGAAGUUGCCGGAUGACUUGAGGCUCCUGGCCUGGUUUCAUGCCCAUCCUUUGUGCGUGGCCCACUUGCUAGGACUCUCUAGAUCCCAUUCAAGCAGAGCUGCUUGUACAGUCCUGUGCCAUGGGUGUUUUCUGUUGCUAAUUCCCACAUGUAUGCUUAUUCUUAUAAAAGUUUUAAAUUAAAGAUGAGUUUUCGGGUGGGUAAAAUCUAGACAGGAAUCGCAUGGAAUAAACGCAGUGAGGAUCUGG